rnacentral:rRNA from 1 species
CGGAAUCUGGGAGGACCAUCUCCUAAGGCUAAAUACUCUCUAGUGACCGAUAGUGAACCAGUACCGUGAGGGAAAGGUGAAAAGCACCCCGGAAGGGGAGUGAAAUAGAACCUGAAACCGUGUGCUUACAAGUAGUCAGAGCCCGUUAAUGGGUGAUGGCGUGCCUUUUGUAGAAUGAACCGGCGAGUUACGAUUUGAUGCAAGGUUAAGCAGUAAAUGUGGAGCCGUAGCGAAAGCGAGUCUGAAUAGGGCGUUUAGUAUUUGGUCGUAGACCCGAAACCAGGUGAUCUACCCUUGGUCAGGUUGAAGUUCAGGUAACACUGAAUGGAGGACCGAACCGACUUACGUUGAAAAGUGAGCGGAUGAACUGAGGGUAGCGGAGAAAUUCCAAUCGAACCUGGAGAUAGCUGGUUCUCUCCGAAAUAGCUUUAGGGCUAGCCUCAAGUGAUGAUUAUUGGAGGUAGAGCACUGUUUGGACGAGGGGCCCCUCUCGGGUUACCGAAUUCAGACAAACUCCGAAUGCCAUGUACUUAUACUCGGGAGUCAGACUGCGAGUGAUAAGAUCCGUAGUCGAAAGGGAAACAGCCCAGACCACCAGCUAAGGUCCCAAAAUAUAUGUUAAGUGGAAAAGGAUGUGGCGUUGCCCAGACAACUAGGAUGUUGGCUUAGAAGCAGCCAUCAUUUAAAGAGUGCGUAAUAGCUCACUAGUCGAGUGACACUGCGCCGAAAAUGUACCGGGGCUAAACAUAUUACCGAAAGUGUGGAUGAACCUCUUUAGAGGUUCGUGGGAGGAGAGCGUUCUAAGGGCGUUGAAGCAUGAUCGUAAGGACAUGUGGAGCGCUUAGAAGUGAGAAUGCCGGUGUGAGUAGCGAAAGACGGGUGAGAAUCCCGUCCACCGAUUGACUAAGGUUUCCAGAGGAAGGCUCGUCCGCUCUGGGUUAGUCGGGUCCUAAGCUGAGGCCGACAGGCGUAGGCGAUGGAUAACAGGUUGAUAUUCCUGUACCACCUAUAAUCGUUUUAAUCGAUGGGGGGACGCAGUAGGAUAGGCGAAGCGUGCGAUUGGAUUGCACGUCUAAGCAGUAAGGCUGAGUAUUAGGCAAAUCCGGUACUCGUUAAGGCUGAGCUGUGAUGGGGAGAAGACAUUGUGUCUUCGAGUCGUUGAUUUCACACUGCCGAGAAAAGCCUCUAGAUAGAAAAUAGGUGCCCGUACCGCAAACCGACACAGGUAGUCAAGAUGAGAAUUCUAAGGUGAGCGAGCGAACUCUCGUUAAGGAACUCGGCAAAAUGACCCCGUAACUUCGGGAGAAGGGGUGCUCUUUAGGGUUAACGCCCAGAAGAGCCGCAGUGAAUAGGCCCAAGCGACUGUUUAUCAAAAACACAGGUCUCUGCUAAACCGUAAGGUGAUGUAUAGGGGCUGACGCCUGCCCGGUGCUGGAAGGUUAAGAGGAGUGGUUAGCUUCUGCGAAGCUACGAAUCGAAGCCCCAGUAAACGGCGGCCGUAACUAUAACGGUCCUAAGGUAGCGAAAUUCCUUGUCGGGUAAGUUCCGACCCGCACGAAAGGCGUAACGAUUUGGGCACUGUCUCAACGAGAGACUCGGUGAAAUCAUAGUACCUGUGAAGAUGCAGGUUACCCGCGACAGGACGGAAAGACCCCGUGGAGCUUUACUGUAGCCUGAUAUUGAAAUUCGGCACAGCUUGUACAGGAUAGGUAGGAGCCUUUGAAACGUGAGCGCUAGCUUACGUGGAGGCGCUGGUGGGAUACUACCCUAGCUGUGUUGGCUUUCUAACCCGCACCACUUAUCGUGGUGGGAGACAGUGUCAGGCGGGCAGUUUGACUGGGGCGGUCGCCUCCUAAAAGGUAACGGAGGCGCUCAAAGGUUCCCUCAGAAUGGUUGGAAAUCAUUCAUAGAGUGUAAAGGCAUAAGGGAGCUUGACUGCGAGACCUACAAGUCGAGCAGGGUCGAAAGACGGACUUAGUGAUCCGGUGGUUCCGCAUGGAAGGGCCAUCGCUCAACGGAUAAAAGCUACCCCGGGGAUAACAGGCUUAUCUCCCCCAAGAGUUCACAUCGACGGGGAGGUUUGGCACCUCGAUGUCGGCUCAUCGCAUCCUGGGGCUGUAGUCGGUCCCAAGGGUUGGGCUGUUCGCCCAUUAAAGCGGUACGCGAGCUGGGUUCAGAACGUCGUGAGACAGUUCGGUCCCUAUCCGUCGUGGGCGUAGGAAAUUUGAGAGGAGCUGUCCUUAGUACGAGAGGACCGGGAUGGACAUACCUCUGGUGUACCAGUUGUCGUGCCAACGGCAUAGCUGGGUAGCUAUGUGUGGACGGGAUAAGUGCUGAAAGCAUCUAAGCAUGAAGCCCCCCUCAAGAUGAGAUUUCCCAACUUCGGUUAUAAGAUCCCUCAAAGAUGAUGAGGUUAAUAGGUUCGAGGUGGAAGCAUGGUGACAUGUGGAGCUGACGAAUACUAAUCGAUCGAAGACUUAAUCAA